rnacentral:ncRNA from 1 species
CCCCCACAUGAUCGCGCCGGUGCCCGAAAGGGCUUAAUAUGGGAACGCGGUGAGAAGGCUCUUUCCAAAAGAGUUCUCGAUUCCGCGGCUGUCCCUGCAACUGUAAGCGGUGAGCGCGAUGCACCGUCCCGAUCCUUUAAGGUCCGGGACAGCCACUGGGGCAACCUGGGAAGGCGUGCAUCAAGCCCUGACCCGCGAGCCAGGAGACCUGCCGGCGUGGGUCGCUCAAU